rfam:Gossypium hirsutum cultivar TM-1 chromosome 14, whole genome shotgun sequence
CACGUCAGCGCGAUUUGCUGACAUGGACACAAAUCGCGCUGACAUGGACGCGAUUUGCUGCCACAUCAGCAAACAGCGCUUACGUGG